CAAGAGUUCUAGAGAGGUUGGUGGCUGCUCCUGGUCAUAGACCAUGCCUCUGCAACCUUCCUGCGGGUCUAUGAUGCUUCUGGGGCCACUGGAAAGGGCACUGAGCUGCAAGGCAUGGACUGCAGGGGAAAUCCAGGUGAAAAUAGCUCUUUUUUUUUCAAUUCGUAUUUUAUUGAAUUUCCAUACAUAGAAACACGACUGUAUCAUAUUGUGAAAAUUAACAACAUUG